rnacentral:rRNA from 1 species
UGGAUAGUAUUAUUAAUGAAAUUUAACGGAUUUGGCGGCAAGAUAGCCACUUAGAGGAACCUGCCCUGUAAACGAUGAGCCACGAUUAACCUUACUUUUACUAGGAUCCAGUUUGUAUACCGCUGUUGUCAGUUAGUUUCCCUAGAAAACUUUCGUACAUGAUAAAUUCAAGGACUUCAAGUAAAGGUGCAGCUUAUGUAAAAGAUAGAGGUGGGUUACAAUUAAAAGAAUAAUAUGGAUAAAGUAAAGAAAAAACUUUUGAAGGUGGAUUUAAUAGUAAAGUUUAAUAAGACUUGAUUAGAGCUCUAUCUUGUGUACACACCGCCCGUCGCUCGCGGGA